UAAGACCUGGUCGGGCCAGGCAUACAGAUGUUGUAAGACCUGGCCGGGUCAGGCAUACAGAUGUUGUAAGACUUGGCCGGGCCAGGCAUACGAAAGUUAUAAGACCUGGCUGGGCCAGGCAUACUGACAUUGGAGGGAGUUUUGGUGGUCAUGUCCAUCCGUAAUAUGAAAUGUUUGUGAUGUGAUGCAUUUCAUGAGAGCAUAUAAUGAAUGAACUGUUUUCAGUGUUUCUACUCACUGGGCUUUAUAGCUCACCCCUCUCCCCUAACCUAGUUUUGCAGGUUCAGUGUGCAGGGGAGUCUAGCAGGGUACAAGAAGAGAAAAAGUAAGA
rnacentral:lncRNA from 1 species